CAACAAAGUCACAUAAUUAAGAUGGUGAACACUUUUGAUAGAGGUCGAAAGUUAUAGUAAUGCAAUUUUCGGUCUCCCUGAAAUUUUGCUGUUUGAAGAUGGCCUUGAACAAAUUGCUACAUU